AUGAAUCCCAGUUCUACCACUUCCUCGCUGUGUAACCUCGGCAAGUUGCUUAAUCAUUCAGGGCCUCCAUUAUCACAUCUGUAAAAUGGGAUGAUACUAAUCAUAGUACCUUCUUCUUAGGGUUGCGGUGAGUUAACUGAUGUAGAACAGUGUGUGGCUCAUAGUAAGAACUACAUAAGUUUUGCCACGAUUUUCAUAAUGAUUCCUAGUAUCUAUAAUGUUUUAUUUUUAAAAUAUCAAAAGCGGAUAUGGCAUGUGUAUGAAAGAGCUCAGUGGCCUGCCUCGAAGAGGACCUUCAUCCCUCCUGCCCCCUCCCCAGCCAGGUGAGUUUCAUCCUCAACACUUACUCUGUGUUUUUAAAGCCACACCAUCCCAAACACGCCCUCCAGAUCUGGGACAACCCAUCUAGGCAUGUCUCCCUUUUCCUUUUUUACCCCUGAUGCUGGCAACUCUCUUUAUUGACACAGACGGUGAACAAUACAGUAACAAGUAUGUGCCCCCUUGUCUGUUUCAAUUUGUGUCACUAAAUUAGAUCGCUAUGGAAUGAUCAGGGUAAAUGAGGUGCUCAUUGUUACCACUCCGGCUUGCCCAACGGCUCUCCUAAAAGCUUGCACCAGUCUACACCCCACCUGCAGGUGACAGUGUGAUUUUCCAUUUCCUUUUGCCUCCCCCACUACAGUAUGAGCUUCUUGAGGACAAAGACUGCGACAUUUGUCCAUAUACUCUCCAUGUCUUGAUAGGUGCUCAGCAAGAUGUGGUGGAGUAGAUCAAGGCUUCACAGCACAUUGCUAAGUAGGUACAGAGGGCAGAGAAAAAUAAGACGCGCCUGCCCUCGAGAACUUACAAUUUAGGUUUGUUUGAAAAUUGCAAGUGUAGGGGGAGCCUGGGGAGGGAGGAAACGCUGUCGGGGAGAGUACCUGGCAAAGCCAGCUGUGGCCAGCUGUGAGGAAUGCGGGUCCUCCCCGUGCUUGGCAAGGCAGAGGAAUGGCAUCCCGGACGGGCAACAAACCGCUCCAGCAAAGUGUGGUGACGAGGAUGCGUAAGGACAUUUGUGGGAUGGUUAGAAGGGAGGUCACUAAUGUGUAGUCACCGUGGAGGAUCUGAUUAGCAGGAAAGGCAGGGCCUGGACGGGGGCAAGCCUUGUUCCACAGCUGAGAUGUUUAAACUUUACCCCCGAGGCAACUGGAGCUACCAGGGGUGCAGCGAGGAGGAAAGGCUGCUCUAGACAGGAAGAUUAAUCACAGCUGCGUUGCUGCCGGCUGCCUGUCACGCCAGAGCUGUGCUGCUCUCAAGCUGCCUGGCUGGUACUCCCUCUUUCCAGUCGCACAGCCGUGACAUUCAAACUCAGCGGUCUCCCCAUCCUCAGCUACCUCCCCACUGGCUCACGGAAGUACCAUCAACCCAAAAAUGUGGACACCACGGAGCCUGGUCUUCGUGAUGGCCCUGUGAGGUGGGUAUUAUCACCCACUCCCAUUCUACAGAUGAGGAAACUGAGGCUUAGGCCGACUAACUGGACUGAGAUCACACAGCUUAACAAGUCACAGCACAGCCCUCAAAUGCAGUCUGUCCUCUGCAUCGCCUUACUUCCUUGUGAUUUUGGUGGUUUUGUGGAGUUUUGACAGCCCCAAAGCAUGGGGACCUCUCAGCGCUGGAGCCAGAGCCCUCGGGCUCCCUUGUCUGUUCUACUCCGGGGACUCCAGACAAUUGCCAAGACAUCGGCAUCAGACUAGGCCAUCUGUGACCAGCAUGGAUCAAGACAAAAUCCAGACUACUCCAUAAUCACAUCUGAGCACAGACAAAACAUCCUCGGCCCAGAAGGAAACCGAAUCUCCUGGACAACUCUCUCUUGCCUGCUCCCAGCCCUAAAAUCUGGCCUCCUGAUUCUGAAGAUAAAAGACUCUGCUUCAACUUCAGAAUCAGAGUAACUUCCAGUGGUGCCACCAACCCCAAAGGUCCAAACUCCUGUGGGGCUCCCAGUCAUGUAAACCCUUCCCUUCUCCUUCCACGAGUGUCAGGGCCGGAGUAGGGGUGAGGCAGGGAAAAGGGUGGGGAAUGUGUCAGAUACCCCAGGGCGGGAUGUACUGAGGGACACAGGGUUUGAUCAGUAGACAUGUCCUUUUGAUGUGGGCAAGGCUAUGUCCUUUAAGGAGCAAUGCCCCUCAAUUUGGAGACACUGUGCAUCCUUGCAGCCAAGAGCAUGGACUCUAGAACCAGCUGUGUUAACUUCUUCACCAGCUCUGCCCUUACCAGCUGUGUGACCUUGGACAUAUUAACCUCUCUGCACUUCAGGUUCCUCAUCUCUAAAAUGAGGGUAAUAAUUGUACUGACUCACAGGCUUCUUGCCAGGAGUGAGUGAGUUGUGUAUGUCAAGCACUUAGAAUAAUGGCAGGCACAUGGCAAACACAAGUGUUUAUUAAGUAAAUAUUUUUUCACUUCUAAUGGGCUGACUCUUCCAUUCAUUCUCCACACAUUUAUUGAUAUCCUUCUUGUGCUAGAGAUGAACAAGACAGAUUCCCUGCCUGAAAUCUCUGUUGCAUGAUCCUUGCAUUCCACCCCCACUCCAAAAUGGUCUUCUAGGCCGUGCCUGAUGGGACUGCAUGGGGGCUGCGGGCUCCCUAGUGCAGACCCCCAGCUUGCUGCAGCCCCUCUCAAGUUCCUUUCCUUGUUCAAGACACCUUCUCUCCCUUUGACACAAUGAAGCAAGAGGUCCCCACCCCUUCCACAGCUCCUUCCCCAGGCCAGAAGGGGUUAGAUAAGUCACCCUUGCAGCCAUUUUUCACCCCUAACUGUGUUCCUCAAGGGCCUUUGCAAUUAAAUUUGAGCACAGAAUCUGGUUCAGGCUGCAUGAGCCACCAGACUCAGGGGUCAGAGGGCCCUGGUUUGCCAUUGCCCUCACAGGGCAUUCGGAAGCCAGAAGAACUGCAUUUAAAACUGAACAUUUGAACCUGCAUGGAUAUUUGGUGUUAUAGAAUUAGUGCUAUUAAUUUUAGGUUUAAGAAUGGUAUUGUGGUUAUGUAUUUUUAAAAAAUCUUUAUUUUUUAGAAAUACAAAAAUAUUUAUGGAUGAAAUUAUAUGAUGCCUGGGUUUUCCUUUAAAAUGAUAUGGGGAGAGGAAUGCAGAUGAAAUAAAAUUGGCUAUCAGUUGCUGGAAUUGCUGAACUGAGGAGU